CACGUAGGGCGCAAGCGUUGUCCGGAAUUUAUUGGGCGUAAAGAGCUCGUAGGCGGUCUGUUGCGUCCGCUGUGAAAACUCGGGGCUUAACCCCCGAGCCUGCAGUGGAUACGGGCAGACUAGAGGUAGGUAGGGGAGAAUGGAAUUCCCGGUGUAGCGGUGAAAUGCGCAGAUAUCGGGAGGAACACCGGUGGCGAAGGCGGUUCUCUGGGCCUUACCUGACGCUGAGGAGCGAAAGCGUGGGGAGCGAACAGG
rnacentral:rRNA from 1 species